AUAACAGCUGGAAACAGCUGCUAAUACCGCAUAUGCCCGCAGUGCCGCAUGGCACAGCGGGGAAAACUCCGGUGGUAUGCGAUGGGUCCGCGUCUGAUUAGGCAGUUGGCGGGGUAACGGCCCACCAAACCGACGAUCAGUAGCCGGCCUGAGAGGGCGGACGGCCACACUGGGACUGAGACACGGCCCAGACUCCUGCGGGAGGCAGCAGUGGGGAAUAUUGCACAAUGGGGGAAACCCUGAUGCAGCGACGCCGCGUGAAGGAAGAAGUAUCUCGGUAUGUAAACUUCUAUCAGCAGGGAAGAAAACAGACGGUACCUGACUAAGAAGCCCCGGCUAACUACGUGCCAGCAGCCGCGGUAAUACGUAGGGGGCAAGCGUUAUCCGGAUUUACUGGGUGUAAAGGGGGCGCAGACGGCCAUGCAAGCCCGGUGUGAAAGGCAGGGGCAUAACCCCUGGACUGCACUGGGAACUGUCAGGCUGGAGUGCCGGAGGGGUAAGCGGAAUUCCUGGUGUAGCGGUGAAAUGCGUAGAUAUCAGGAGGAACACCGGCGGCGAAGGCGGCUUACUGGACGGCAACUGACGUUGAGGCCCGAAAGCGUGGGGAGCGAACAGGAUUAGAUACCCUGGUAGUCCACGCCGUAAACGAUGUAUACCAGGUGUCGGAUAUCAAGGAUAUCCGGUG
rnacentral:rRNA from 1 species